CACAUGCAAGUCGAGCGGAUGAAGAGAGCUUGCUCUCUGAUUCAGCGGCGGACGGGUGAAUAAUGCCUAGGAAUCUGCCUGAUAGUGGGGGACAACGUUUCAAAAGGAACGCUAAUACCGCAUACGUCCUACGGGAGAAAGCAGGGGACCUUCGGGCCUUGCGCUAUCAGAUGAGCCUAGGUCGGAUUAGCUAGUUGGUGAGGUAAUGGCUCACCAAGGCGACGAUCCGUAACUGGUCUGAGAGGAUGAUCAGUCACACUGGAACUGAGACACGGUCCAAACUCCUACGGGAGGCAGCAAUGGGGAAUAUUGGACAAUGGGCGAAAGCCUGAUCCCGCCAUGCCGCGUGUGUGAAGAAGGUCUUCGGAUUGUAAAGCACUUUAAGUUGGGAGGAAGGGCAUUAACCUAAUACGUUAGUGUUUUGACGUUACCGACAGAAUAAGCACCGGCUAACUUCGUGCCAGCAGCCGCGGUAAUACGAAGGGUGCAAGCGUUAAUCGGAAUUACUGGGCGUAAAGCGCGCGUAGGUGGUUUGUUAAGUUGAAUGUGAAAGCCCCGGGCUCAACCUGGGAACUGCAUCCAAAACUGGCAAGCUAGAGUAUGGCAGAGGGUGGUGGAAUUUCCUGUGUACCGGUGAAAUGCUUAGAUAUAGGAAGGAACACCAGUGGCGAAGGCGACCACCUGGGCUAAUGCUGACACUGAGGUGCGAAAGCGUGGGGAGCUAACAGGAUUAGAGACUCUGGUAGUCCACGCCGUAAACGAUGUCGACUAGCCGUUGGGAUCCUUGAGAUCUUAGUGGCGCAGCUAACGCAUUAAGUCGACCGCCUGGGGAGUACGGCCGCAAGGUUAAAACUCAAGAAA
rnacentral:rRNA from 1 species